CAAGUCACCCCAUCCCACAACAGGGAGUUCCUUAACUUUCUUUAAACGAAAUGAUAAUAAAUGAUCAUUUCUGUUUGUUGUCAGGUUCCGAAGUCCAUUGAGGGUUGUGGAGGACG